CAAGCAAAAUGCAUUUCAGUUUGAAUCCCCGAAACUAAGUGAGCUACUUCGAAACAGUCUUAAGGACAAAUCCGUCUCUGUUGCAAUAGAGUGGAAUGAUUUCCAAGUAGAGGCAAUAAACCUACCGCACCUAGAAAUAGCUGGUUGCUCAAGAAAAGAAUAUUAGUUCAACCUUAAGUUUAUAAAUUAUUUUAAAAACCCAUAAAACUUAAGAGUUAUUCAAAUAAGGCACAGCUUAUUUGAAACAGGACACAACCUAUAAAAUAGGGUAACACUUAUUAACAAGUAACAAGUGGGCCUAAAAGCAGCCAUCUUAUAAAAAGCGUUAAAGCUUACUACUCCUUAAGUAUUAAUAUCUUAAUCCACCUCUAACCCUUCAUUAAUAUUGAGCAAUUUCAUAAGUCUAUGAAAGAUAUAAUGCUAGAACUAGUAACAAGAAAUAAAUUUUCUCCAAAAUGCAAACCUAAGCCAUAAUAGACAAUCUACUGGCAAUUAACGUAAAUGACUAUACUGUAGUAAAUAAUUACAAGAAAACUCUAUACUUAUUGACGUCAACCUUACACCAGAACAUUAAUGGAAAGAUUAAAAGAAAGAGAAGGAAUUCGGCAAAAUUCAGCCC
rnacentral:rRNA from 1 species